AGUGAACGCUGGCGGUAGGCCUAACACAUGCAAGUCGAACGACCGCACAGUAAGAUCUUGCUCUUACGGGUGGCGAGUGGCGGACGGGUGAGGAAUACAUCGGCAUCUACUUUUUCGUGGAGGAUAACGUAGGGCAACUUACGCUAAUACCGCAUACGACCUACGGGUGAAAGCAGGGGAUCUUCGGACCUUGCGCGAUUGAAUGAGCCGAUGUCGGAUUAGCUAGUUGGCGGGGUAAAGGCCCACCAAGGCGACGAUCCGUAGCUGGUCUGAGAGGAUGAUCAGCCACACUGGAACUGAGACACGGUCCAGACUCCUACGGGAGGCAGCAGUAGGGAAUAUUGGACAAUGGGCGAAAGCCUGAUCCAGCCAUACCGCGUGAGUGAAGAAGGCCUUCGGGUUGUAAAGCCCUGUUGUUGGGAAAGAAAAGCAGCAGGUUAAUACCCCGCUGUUCUGACGGUACCCAAAGAAUAAGCACCGGCUAACUUCGUG
rnacentral:rRNA from 1 species